CAACGAGCGCAACCCUUAUCCUUUGUUGCCAGCGGUUCGGCCGGGAACUCAAAGGAGACUGCCAGUGAUAAACUGGAGGAAGGUGGGGAUGACGUCAAGUCAUCAUGGCCCUUACGACCAGGGCUACACACGUGCUACAAUGGCGCAUACAAAGAGAAGCGACCUCGCGAGAGCAAGCGGACCUCAUAAAGUGCGUCGUAGUCCGGAUUGGAGUCUGCAACUCGACUCCAUGAAGUCGGAAUCGCUAGUAAUCGUGGAUCAGAAUGCCACGGUGAAUACGUUCCCGGGCCUUGUACACACCGCCCGUCACACCAUGGGAGUGGGUUGCAAAAGAAGUAGGUAGCUUAACCUUCGGGAGGGCGCUUACCACUUUGUGAUUCAUGACUGGGGUGAAGUCGUAACAAGGUAACCGUAGGGGAACCUGC
rnacentral:rRNA from 1 species